GUACAGCUGACGAGUCCCAAAUAGGACGAAACGCGCGUCCUGGAU
rfam:Schistosoma haematobium scaffold1301_8, whole genome shotgun sequence.